GAUGAACGCUGGCGACGUGCCUAACACAUGCAAGUCGAGCGAUUCUCUUCGGAGAAGAGCGGCGGACGGGUUAGUAACGCGUGGGUAACCUGCCCUGUACACACGGAUAACAUACCGAAAGGUAUGCUAAUACGAGAUAAUAUACUUUUAUCGCAUGGUAGAAGUAUCAAAGUUUUUGCGUUACAGGCUGGACCCGCGUCUGAUUAGCUAGUUGGUAAGGUAACGGCUUACCUAGGCGACGAUCAGUAGCCGACCUGAGAGGGUGAUCGGCCACAUUUGAACUGAGACACGGUACAAACUCCUACGGGAGGCAGCAGUGGGGAAGAUUGCACAAUGGGAGAAAGCCUGAUGCAGCAACGCCGCGUGAGCGAUGAAGGCCUUCGGGUCGUAAAGCUCUGUCCUCAAGGAAGAUAAUGACGGUACUUGAGGAGGAAGCCCCGGCUAACUACGUGCCAGCAGCCGCAGUAAAAC
rnacentral:rRNA from 1 species